rnacentral:rRNA from 1 species
GCUAGCGACAGGCUUAACACAUGCAAGUCGAGGGGCAGCGGGGUUGGCAACGACCGCCGGCGACCGGCGCACGGGUGAGUAACACGUAUGCAACCUGCCCGCCACAGGGGGAUAACCGGGAGAAAUCCCGACUAAUACCGCGUACAGCCGGAGGGGGGCAUCCCCCGUCGGUGAGAGCUACGGCGGUGGCGGAUGGGCAUGCGUGGGCAUUAGCUAGACGGCGGGGCAACGGCCCACCGUGGCGACGAUGCCUAGGGGUUCUGAGAGGAAGGUCCCCCACACUGGUACUGAGACACGGACCAGACUCCUACGGGAGGCAGCAGUGAGGAAUAUUGGUCAAUGGGCGGGAGCCUGAACCAGCCAAGUCGCGUGAGGGAUGAAGGUCCUAAGGAUUGCAGACCUCUUUUGCCGGGGAGCAACGGCCGCCACGCGUGGCGGAAUGGGAGUACCCGGAGAAAAAGCAUCGGCUAACUCCGUGCCAGCAGCCGCGGUAAUACGGAGGAUGCGAGCGUUAUCCGGAUUUAUUGGGUUUAAAGGGUGCGUAGGCGGACGUUCAAGUCGGCGGUCAAAUGGGCGGGCUCAACCCGUUCGCGCCGUCGAAACUGGGCGACUUGAGUAGGAGAGGGGCACGCGGAAUGCGCGGUGUAGCGGUGAAAUGCAUAGAUAUCGCGCAGAACUCCGAUCGCGAAGGCAGCGUGCCGGCUCCUCACUGACGCUGAAGCACGAAAGCGUGGGGAUCGAACAGGAUUAGAUACCCUGGUAGUCCACGCAGUAAACGAUGAGCACUAGGUGUGCGGCCGGUUAGGGCAGCGUGCCACAGCGAAAGCGUUAAGUGCUCCACCUGGGGAGUACGCCGGCAACGGUGAAACUCAAAGGAAUUGACGGGGGCCCGCACAAGCGGAGGAACAUGUGGUUUAAUUCGAUGAUACGCGAGGAACCUUACCCGGGCUCGAACGGCGGGGGACGGGCACUGAAAAGUGCCUUCACGCGAGUGUCCCCGCCGAGGUGCUGCAUGGUUGUCGUCAGCUCGUGCCGUGAGGUGUCGGCUUAAGUGCCAUAACGAGCGCAACCCCCGCCGGCAGUUGCUAACGGGCAAUGCCGAGGACUCUGCCGGGACUGCCGGCGCAAGCCGCGAGGAAGGCGGGGAUGACGUCAAAUCAGCACGGCCCUUACGUCCGGGGCGACACACGUGUUACAAUGGCGGGUACAGCGGGAAGCGACCGUGCGAGCGGGAGCGGAGCCCGAAAACCCGUCUCAGUUCGGAUCGGAGUCUGCAACCCGACUCCGUGAAGCUGGAUUCGCUAGUAAUCG